rnacentral:misc_RNA from 1 species
CAACCAUCAAGCCCCCGGGCUUGUGUUGGGGACCUGCGGCUGCCGCAGGCCCCGAAAACCAGUGGCGGGCUCGCUGUCACCCCGAGCGUAGUAGUUUACACCUCGCCCAGGGCGUGCCGCGGGUUUCCCGGCCGUUAAACCCCCCAUACCACAA